rnacentral:ribozyme from 1 species
UGCGCAAAAGCACACAUCAUUCGUACAUGGCAAUAACAACAAAAGAGGCGAAAUGAAAAGGUGUUCAUGCUGCACAUAUAAGGGUGCCAGAAGAUAUUCCUUUCCUUUUGUUUUCUUGUUUUUUGA